GCAGAGCGUUAUGAGUCAGGUUACUCCUGCUCAAGUCCAUCAAACUUUGAGACUGGUUGAAUGGAAGAAGACUAAAGUCUCUUGGCCGUUCUCUACCCAUGGAAAGAAAAGGGCACUCAGCAAAUACUGCUGUGUGAUUUGAGGUGCUUCUUUCUUUCCUCCAUUUAUUGUUUCUUUGCUUUACUUGAUAUGCCCAGCUGCACACACGCUGGUUUU